ACGAACGCUGGCGGCGUGCUUAACACAUGCCAGUCGAACGGGCCCGCCCCUGUUUUUGGGGGUGGGUUGAGUGGCGAACGGGUGAGUAUCACGUGAGUAACCUGCCCCCUGCUCCUGGAUAACUGCUUGAAAGGGCGGCUAAUACGGGGUGUGCCGGCUGGUCCGCAUGGGCCUGGUCGGGAUAGUUUCAUCUUCGGGUGUUUCGGUGGGGGAUGGGCUCGCGGCCUAUCAGCUUGUUGGUGGGGUGAUGGCCCACCAAGGCGGUGACGGGUAGCCGGACUGAGAGGGUGGGCGGCCACACUGGGACUGAGACACGGCCCAGACUCCGGCGGGAGGCAGCAGGGGGGGGUAGUGAACAAUGGGCGGAAGCCUGAUGCAGCGACGUCGCGUGAGGGAUGGAGGCCGUCGGGUUGUGAACCUCUUUCUCCGGUGGUGAAGGCCCUGUCCGUUGCGGCGGGGUUGACGGUAGCCGGGUAUGAAGCGCCGGCUAACUACGUG
rnacentral:rRNA from 1 species